UUUCUUUUUACAGGCAAAUUAGGUUAUGGUGUGCUAAUUAGCCCAGCUUUAUGUAAUGAGCUUAAUUAAAAGGAAACUCAGCCGGUAACAAACCAACAAAAUAUCUAAUUGUUCUUCUAAUUAAGGCAGGUGGGAAAGGCUUUUUCAGAGCUGGUGGAGGCCUCUCUCCCGGAUUUUUUCUUCUUCUUAUUGUUUUUGGGUGUUUCUUUUUCAAGGGUAGGUCUGGGUAGGCUAGUGGUGAUCAAUGUGCAACAUUUACUGGGGUUCCACUGUUUUUACGCCUUUCUGGACGGAUCCUUCCCUCUGUUCUCUGCACUGUUGACCGUCCCUGCUGGAGCUGGAGGUCCACAAGAGAACGGCCCUUUUCCUGCAUCUUCAAAUUUACCAUCGAAACUUUGGCGAUUCAGCACAUCGGACAAACUGGGUCAGGCCUGUUCUACCCCCAGGUGGGGCAGCUGGGGAUACAUGGCACGGAGAAUCCCAUGUAUACUCCGCACGUGAUGCUCUUGGAUGGGGGUGGCUAUGCAGACUAGCAGAAAACCAGGCACUUUGGAGACUUUGCUGGUGGAAACAGAUCCUUUGAAUCUUUAACGGGUAUUUAGAAGGCCAAGUUCUAAGUUUUGUCUGUACUUUUUAGCAGGUGAAGGCUCAGAUCCAUCAGGAUAAUUGGGUGCCUGACUUCUAUAUUGAAUCCAAUAAAUUUGGGACCUACAAGCAUCAGUGGACAUCAGGAAUUUUCACUUUUCAAAAGGGGACUUUGACUGCUUUUGGAAGACCAAAGCUGGACAUUUGCUCACUUUCCAUGCGUGCUUACACCCCUAACUCCUGCCUGAUACCAAUUUCUGCAGGAAGACAGUGCUAGGGUUGUUCCUGCAGGCUUGGCGUUUGUAUGUUUGUGCCAAAAAAUCUUUGGCACUGGCAGUCCAAUCUCAGGGACAUAAAUGAUGCAGGGGAGAGUGUGUCUGGCUGACAGAGACCCCCAUGAUGAGCAGGAGAUGCCCAGAGUGCUAGCAGCAGCUCUGCAAUCGUGAGCUGAUGUUAUUCAUAGCCACAAUUAUCAGAUUGGCUCAAGAAGUGAGGAGAGGCAUGCAGCUCAGUUGUUUUUUAAAAAAAACUUUCAUUGCCAGUACUCCUCCUGCCCAGUAAGUAACUAAAAUCAGAAUAUUAGUAAGGAAUGAUAAAAGAAGGAAUAAAACUCAUUGUUACUGAUCUUCCAGGACGGACAGCUGUCUAUUUGCACAGGCUUAUGAGAGGUUCUUCGAGACCAGUUCCCCAUUAUCUGAGGCAAACAUGAAUCUCCUCUUCUCAGACACUUCCUGUAGGUUUUCUGAGAGAUCCCAAGAAGCCUGCAGGUCAGAGGUUGAAAUUCAUGGUCACAGGCACAUACAUCAGAGCAAAUGUCAAUCCUAGAGAUCAGAUCUGCUUGAUCAAGGACUAAGAUGGGUGGAUAUUGGCAGUGCCACCUCACUUCAGUGUUUCUUACAGUGACAUAAAUACUAGAGGCUGGACAUAGUCAUUUCUUUAUUUGAGGCAGCGGGAGUUGAAAGACCCAGAAUGGUACAGAAAGUGCAGUUCUGUGGCUCAGCUCAGCUUCAGGCUAAUUACUGAAAAAAUAAGCAAACACACCUGAGAAAGCAGUAUGUCAGAGCCUGGAAAGUUUUGCAGGGACUUAGAGUACCAAGAGUUCACUUGGAGCUGGACUUAUUACAGCGAUUGUGUUCCUAUAUGGUGGUAAAGAAAAGACGCUGCAGAUCAACUACCUGAGUAAUCGCUUCCUUCAGAGAGGUGGAAACACCAGACUUUGGAAUCUGAGCAGUGCAAGUGCCUGGAAAGACUCUGAAAACAUGAUAUCCCUCUGGAAAAACUGUAAGUAUUACUCUUGUCUGAAUGAUUAACUUUAUUCUAACAGAUUGCUCAAAGAUACUAAGGAGUGGCAGGAGUGGAUACACUAAUGCCUAGAAAUGUAGAGGUUUUUGCAACCUUUCAUGAAUGUUUCACUUCCUUCCCUGCCCCUUUUUUCCUCUCAUCUAACAGUCCUGAAUGUUUGCCUUAUUUCUUAAAGAAAAAAAUUGCCCUGCUUUAGCCCUGCAUGUUUCUGCAUGGGAAGGGUGGACCACAACAUAGUUGAUCUGCUAGACCUCUGGAGGAGGCACGUCUCAGGGAAAGGAGCUCAGAUUCUGUUCCCCAUCUUGUCUCAUGGGGUGAGAGCGCAGUGAUUUAAGUCCCUGGACUGGAGACAGGCUUGCAGUUGAGUGCCUUGACUGACCAGAAGGCUCUUCUGGAGCAGGAGGAUCCAGAGGAUCACAGGAUCCCCAACCACAGCAGGGCUGUGUGGAAGCAGAGUGGCUGCAAUGCUGCAGCUCUGUUGGGAAGACACAAGAUGCCCACCUGUCAUGUAGAAAAAGCCAAAAGGUCACCACGCUGUUUUUCUUUUUUGAGGGAGAGAGCUUCUGAUGAGUUUCUAACCUGUCCCGCCAGUUGUUUCCCCAAGUGCUGGGAAUUACCAGUUGCAUCUGGUCUAGCAGGAGCCAGCUCUGCCUUCCUCGUUUUUCCAUCUGUAAAACCUGGAUGUUACUGGGGCCACCAUAAAGAUUGACUAGAUAGGUCCGUAUCCUGAAGUCAUUUCUCCCAGUGACUUCAGUGAGAUGCCCAGCCCAGAACAAUGGCAGGAUACACGACCCUAAACAUUUCUGCAGUGCUUUGAAAGAUGAAAAGCAGUGACUUUUCUACCUAUGUCAGUGGAGGGGCAGAGAAACUUUUCAUGAUGUUUACAGCAGACACUGCAGACAUUAUACAUGAAAACAUGGGAAAUGGCGCACUUUUCUUGUAUAGAGAUAAUCUUUAAUAGAUGGCAAUGAGGAAAUAGAGGCAUUCAUACACAAAAGCCUACCUCACAGAGGGGUACGUUUCCCUGACUAACAUGGUCACAGCCACAGAUGUUUCCUCCAGAGCCAGAACUGCUGCAUGGGGCUGUUCCUUCUAAGGAACCGGAAUGAGAGAAAUCCCAGCGCAUGCUUUUCCUCCCCCUCCUCAACCCUUGCUGCAGUUGUAGAGAAAAAUGCAGAGCCAGUGCUAGAUUUUCAAUGGAAGCAUUUUCCUAAAAAUGUUUGUUUCUCCCUUUGGAGCACUGUAAGACGAUUAAAUUUAAAACAAAAAAAAGACAUGACUUGAAGCCAGUAUUUAACCAUCCCUUUCCCCAGAUAUUUUAUUGGUCUCCAAUGAUAAUGAGCUAAGUCCUCUGUCCUUAAAGACUGCUUUCUGGGAGGGAACCAGGGACAAAUGUGAAUGGAGGCGCUGGAGGGCUGGAUGGGGACCUGGCUGUGACACAGGAGCAGGAUUUGCUGUCUUCCCACCCUGAUGUUGAGACUUUUUCUUCCUUUUCUCUCCAUGGAAACAAACAAUCUCUGACUCUUGUCACUCAGAGGAGACUCCACAGCAAGAUGGCUUGUUUACUCGCUGCUGUCUUUGGUGGAUUGAAGCUGUGUGGCCUUGUCCUUGUUCCAGGAAAUGCAUGGACAUAGCUGUCUGAAGGAAAACCCUCAUGAUUGUAUAGUUUUCAGUGCCGAGUGGCAUUUAGCCACCUCGUUUUUAUUGUUAGCAGAUCACAAUGCUGCCUCGCUGCUCUGUGCCACACACCACGCUGUGACUAAUAUCAUUCAACAAAAGAAAAACCCCUCCAAAGUGACCAUGUUCUCCAGCCUGGUGGAGCUGGUGGAGGCUCCAUUCAUCCGAUACUGUUUUCUCUUUGCAUCUCUCCCACAAGUGGGGAUAGAGGAAGAGCAGAGGGGGCAGAAUCGCUCCGGGAAGCUCAUACACACGCUGUAACACCUAGGGUGGUCGCUGCUGGACUCUGCACCCUCUCAGCUGCCAUGGAAGUUGAGCUGGGUUUGCUCACGCUGACCAGCCUCCGGAGCUGUUCAGCAUCUUUCCCCAUUGAACCCUUAAAAAGAGGGGCAUGAAAUAACAACAUCCUAACUUGUUUGUGCCAUGAAAGGAGCUGGAAAGAAUGCAUCGAACCACAUGACAAGCGAGGACAUCAGGCUGCACAGAGAAUAGAAAGACCUCAUUUUUAAUUACUUCUGAACAAAGUUGGCUCAGUAAAGUAUUUCCCAUUGUACUGCUGAACUUUUCUUCUCAUCACACAGCAGUGAAACACAGGCUCUUCUGCUGCUGCAAGUGAACUAAAAUCAAGUCUGUGUUAGGGAUCACUUCAUUUCCUAUUAAAUGCAGACUGCACAUCUAUCACAGGCAUUUUAGACUUUUUUUCUUCAGCACCCAGGCACUUCUUUCUCAUUGUAAAUGUUUUUAUCAUGAGAGUCAUAAAAAGCAAGGAUAUCCCACCAUGCAUACAGAAGGAGGCUGGGGGUUAAGCGCCUAGAAUUACAUUCCCUCCAUUGUUCUGGCCAUGAGCGGUCACCAAAAGGCAA